rnacentral:rRNA from 1 species
UCUAUGGCUAAUACAUGCGCAAAUGCCUCCUUCUCUGGAGGGGCUGUGUUUAUUAGAUACAAAACCAACCCACUUUUGUGGAGUCCUGGUGAUUCAUAGUAACCGAACGGAUCGCAUUUGGCUUCGGCCCGCGAUAGAUCUUUCAAGUUUCUGACCUAUCAGCUUUCGACGGUAGGGUAUUGGCCUACCGUGGCAGUGACGGGUAACGGGGAAUUAGGGUUCGAUUCCGGAGAGGGAGCCUGAGAAACGGCUACCACAUCUAGGGAAGGCAGCAGGCGCGCAAAUUACCCAAUGAAAACAGUUUCGAGGUAGUGACGAGAAAUAACAAUACAGGGCAUUUUAUGCUCUGUAAUUGGAAUGAUGGGAAUGUAAAACCCUUCCAGAGUAACAAUUGGAGGGCAAGUCUGGUGCCAGCAGCCGCGGUAAUUCCAGCUCCAAUAGUGUAUAUUAGAGUUGUUGCAGUUAAAAAGCUCGUAGUUGGAUUUCUGCUGUGGUCAUCCGGUACCGCCCGUACGGGUGCGCACCUGGUUUGGCUGCGGCUUUAUUCCUGUAGCCAUCCGCGCUUAAUUGCGUGUGUUGUGUUGCGGAACUUUUACUUUGAGAAAAAUAGAGUGUUUCAAGCAGGCUUGUCGCCCUGAAUACUUCAGCAUGGAAUAAUAGGAUAGGACCUUGGUUCUAUUUUGUUGGUUUCUAGGACCAAGGUAAUGAUUAAUAGGGACAGUUGGGGGCAUUCGUAUUUAACUGUCAGAGGUGAAAUUCUUAGAUUUGUUAAAGACGAACUACUGCGAAAGCAUUUGCCAAGGAUGUUUUCAUCAAUCAAGAACGACAGUAGGGGGUUUGAAGACGAUUAGAUACCGUCGUAAUCUCUACCAUAAACUAUGCCGACUAGAGAUAGGGAAAUGCCUACCUUGGCUUCUCCUGCACCUCAUGAGAAAUCAAAGUCUCUGGGUUCUGGGGGGAGUAUGGUCGCAAGGCUGAAACUUAAAGGAAUUGACGGAAGGGCACCACCAGGCGUGGAGCCUGCGACUUAACUUGACUCAACACGGGGAAACUCACCAGGUCCAGACAUGGGAAGGAUUGACAGAUUGAUAGCUCUUUCUUGAUUCUAUGGGUGGUGGUGCAUGGCCGUUCUUAGUUGGUGGAGUGAUCUGUCUGGUUAAUUUCGAUAACGAACGAGACCUUAGCCUGCUAAAUAGGAUCGGGAACUAUGGUUCUUGUAUCACUUCUUAGAGGGACUUUGCGUGUCUAACGCAAGGAAGUUUGAGGCAAUAACAGGUCUGUGAUGCCCUUAGAUGUUCUGGGCUGCACGCGCGCUACACUGAUGCAUGCAACGAGUUCUUGACCUUGGCCGGAAGGUCUAGGUAAUCUUUUGAGUGUGC